rnacentral:rRNA from 1 species
GACGAACGCUGGCGGCGCGCCUAACACAUGCAAGUCGAACGAGCGAGAGAGAGCUUGCUUUCUUGAGCGAGUGGCGAACGGGUGAGUAACGCGUGAGGAACCUGCCUCAAAGAGGGGGACAACAGUUGGAAACGACUGCUAAUACCGCAUAAGCCCACGACCCGGCAUCGGGUUGAGGGAAAAGGAGCAAUCCGCGUUGAGAUGGCCUCGCGUCCGAUUAGCUAGUUGGUGAGGUAACGGCCCACCAAGGCGACGAUCGGUAGCCGGACUGAGAGGUUGAACGGCCACAUUGGGACUGAGACACGGCCCAGACUCCGACGGGAGGCAGCAGUGGGGAAUAUUGCACAAUGGGGGAAACCCUGAUGCAGCGACGCCGCGUGGAGGAAGAAGGUCUUCGGAUUGUAAACUCCUGUUGUGGAGGAAGAUAAUGACGGUACUCAACAAGGAAGUGACGGCUAACUACGUG